CCUAUGGGCAUUUUAGAGUCUCCAAUUAUCCUACCGGCAUGUCUUUGGACUGUGGGACGAAUCCGGAGUACCCGGAGGAAACCCACGUGAACAUGGGGAGAACAUGCAAGCUACAAACAGAAAGGCCCAGAACCCAGGCGGCUUUCUGUUUCUAUUUUCAUUAUAUUCUUGCUGUGUGGGCACAGUGCUACCCACUGCACCCAGUGCCGUCCGGAGCAACGCCACAUUAAUUGCAUUUCGAAAGAGACGUUGGGUGUCAGCUGUCCAUACUUUUUUCCAUGACAUUGAAACUACAACGGUUGUAGCUUGCGGGCGGGCUAGUACGAAAACCUGAGUUGCGGUUGCCAAAAUUCUACCUUUGUUGCAGUUUAAAUUUCGCAACUUGUUAGCAACUUACUUUUUUCAAAGCACGUAACCCAUGGCUCAAAAAUGCGAACUUACUUCCUGACUGGCUUUAGGACUACAAACUUGUAGACACGUUGAUGGAGAAGUGAAUCUAAUUGGCUAUUACGUUCAGACACGUGACACAAGUCACUCCUACUUCCCACAUCCUGUGCGUUUAUCACACGUUCAGUUAACGUUUUGUUUAGUAAUCCGGCAGGUUUUGGGCUUGAGGCGAGCAAGGGAACUAGGAAGGUAUUGUGCUUGACUGGAUGUAAACCAAGUAUAAUCUUCACUCAAAGACAACCUGGGUUUGUCGCGUGCUUUAGAAUCGCUUUUUAUCCUGAGAAGCGAGUAGUUCUUACUAAAUUCCAGUCAUACAAUUCCAGUUGUUAACUGCAUUACCUAGUUGAUUUUCGAAUCUGGCUAGUCAAGUAACUAGCUAGUUUGUUUUAACGCUCUUGCCUGCUGAGUAGGUGGAACUGAGAGACUAAUCGUUUAGUAGAAUGUGUAUAGAAUCAAUGGAUGUGAAAAGAAGUCGUGAAGAAGUAAGGCCGCGAGCUUGUUUGAGAUUAAAAUGCACAAAAUGGCGGCGGAUGAAGUGUCUCGGCAACGAAAGAGAAAAGCUGGUGAAGAAAUGGAGGGUCAACAGGACCACGGCGAGGAAAAGCUGCCGCCACACUCGUACCCGUAAGACCAGUGACAAACAGUCGUACUGGAUCCGUUUUGCCAGUCGUUACAAGGCCAGGAAUGUUUCGCCGCUUAUGAAGUUAGAAGGCGGACAUGUUCCUCCCGGAACUAUGGCCCCCGGCAACACAACGCAGUAUUUGAUGCGCCUCGUCUAUCAAGACUUUGCGUAUGAGGAUGAAAUGUGUUCAAGUGUAAAUAUAAGUACUGCAAUGGACUUUUCGGGACAUGACCAAUGUCGGUCGGUUUAUGCGGAUUCCACCUCGCCGCAGAACGUGUACAUGUAUUUGGACUCCGCUUAUGAAAGUACAGUGGAAUUCCAAGAGAGAGACUUUGAGAAUGUUUUCCAACUCUACGGUGGAGCGAGUUAGAGGACCGAAAUGGACUUUUAAAGGGAGCCUUUUUCUGACUUAAAAAUGUGGGAAAUGUUUUGUUAACUUGGUUGGCACGAUUACAUGUAAACGAGUGGUUUCGGCCUAGGUGUGGGAUGUUUGUAUGUAGCUAGUGUGUUCCUGGUUUUUAAAUUAAGCACUGUGUGAUUUAAUGGCUCUUUUCUGGACGUUUCCCCCACUCCAAAAAAACUUUCAAAGCUUUCAUUGUUGGGUUUUCCCUGUCCCACAGUGACGCACCUGACACGGUCUGUCUGCAUGGGACGCUCUUCCUCCGUCUUGCAGACCGCAGUGUCACUCGGCUGUCCGAGCCUCAGAAAUCGGCUCUGCUCUUGCCGUCGCGGCCUGCAGAUUUAGACUUCCUGUGUGAAGUAUCUGAGUUCCUGUGGCCCACAGAGCCUUAACCACCAGCCUUUCGUCCCCCUGAGCACUAGGUGUUGCACAGUGGAGCCGCUCUGACUGCAGAUCCUGUGGACACUCACAUGGGUAAUGGUUUAAUUUCUUUUUUUUUUGCAUGACACAUUUUGUCACUCAUUGUUGCACAUCACUUUACGUGCUUGUCCAAUAGAGGGAAUUUUCAGACUUCCUGGUUUACAUGUAAAUCAAGUGGAAAAAUUUUCAAAAAUUCAUGUCAAGAUGGCAAGAUUGCUUUUUGACCCUCAGACUUUUUUGAAAUGAUACUCUGUUACUCUCAGUUACCAGCCUGCUGAACUCGGGUGGGGAUUUAACUCUGAAAUCAUAAUUACCUUGCUGGCGCCUGGAAAAUCCUGAUGGUAGAUGGACAUUUUACAGUGUGGAUAACGGCACGGGUAGGCCAGUUAAUUCAUCAGUGCACGCUUAUCUAUUUUUGAUUGGCAUAUUUUGGAUAAUGUCAGUCCAGUGAGGCGGGGCGAACUACAAUACAUGUUUACAUCAAUGUCUGCACUGAAGCGAAAAUAAAACUUAAUAAAACAUUUUAAAAUGAA